rnacentral:rRNA from 1 species
UACGGGGGGGGCAAGCGUUGUUCGUAAUUACUGGGCGUAAAGGGCUCGUAGGUGGCCAACUAAGUCAGACGUGAAAUCCCCAGGCUCAACUUGGGAACUGCGUCUGAUACUGGAUGGCUUGAAUUCGGGAGAGGGAUGCAGAAUUCCAGGUGUAGCGGUGAAAUGCGUAGAUAUCUGGAGGAAUACCGGUGGCGAAGGCGGCAUCCUGGACCGAGAUUGACACUGAUGAGCGAAAGCUAGGGGAGCAAACGGG